rnacentral:rRNA from 1 species
GACGAACGCUGGCGGCGUGCUUAACACAUGCAAGUCGAACGGAAAGGCCCUGCUUUUGUGGGGUGCUCGAGUGGCGAACGGGUGAGUAACACGUGAGUAACCUGCCCUUGACUGUGGGAUAACUUCAGGAAACUGGGGCUAAUACCGGAUAGGAGCUCCUGCUGCAUGGUGGGGGUUGGAAAGUUUCGGCGGUUGGGGAUGGACUCGCGGCUUAUCAGCUUGUUGGUGGGGUAGUGGCUUACCAAGGCUUUGACGGGUAGCCGGCCUUGGAGGGUGACCGGCCUCAUUGGGACUGCGAUACGGCCCAGACUCCUACGGGAGGCAGCAGUGGGGAAUAUUGCACAAUGGGCGGAAGCCUGAUGCAGCAACGCCGCGUGCGGGAUGCCGGCCUUCGGGUUGUAAACCGCUUUCGCCUGUGACGAAGCGUGAGUGACGGUAAUGGGUAAAGAAGCACCGGCUAACUACGUG